GACAGAGGUGCCGAGCGUUAGGCGGAAUCACUGGGCUUAAAGCGUGUGUAGGCGGGCCGUUAAGUGUCUUGUGAAAUCCCCCCGGCUCAACCGGGGAAUUGCAUUUGAGACUGCGUAGCUAGGGUGCGGAAGAGGGAAGCGGAAUUUCCGGUGUAGCGGUGAAAUGCGUAGAUAUCGGAAGGAACACCAGUGGCGAAAGCGGCUUCCUGGUCCAGCACCGACGUUCAGGCACGAAAGCGUGGGGAGCAAACAGG
rnacentral:rRNA from 1 species